AACGGGUGAGUAACGCGUGGGGAAUCUGCCUUGGAGCGGGGGACAACCUUUGGAAACGAAGGCUAAUACCGCAUAACAAUGAUUUGGACAUCCUUAUCAUUUGAAAGUAGCUAUUGCUACACUCCAAGAUGAUCCCGCGUUGGAUUAGCUAGUUGGUAGGGUAAAGGCCUACCAAGGCGAUGAUCCAUAGCCGACCUGAGAGGGUGAUCGGCCACAUUGGGACUGAGACACGGCCCAAACUCCUACGGGAGGCAGCAGUAGGGAAUCUUCGGCAAUGGGGGCAACCCUGACCGAGCAACGCCGCGUGAGUGAAGAAGGUUUUCGGAUCGUAAAACUCUGUUGGUAGAGAAGAACGUUGAGUAGAGUGGAAAAUUACUCAAGUGACGGUAUCUACCCAGAAAGGGACGGCUAACUACGUGCCAGCAGCCGCGGUAAUACGUAGGUCCCGAGCGUUGUCCGGAUUUAUUGGGCGUAAAGCGAGCGCAGGUGGUUAUUUAAGUCUGGUGUAAAAGGCAAUGGCUCAACCAUUGUAAGCAUUGGAAACUGGAUGACUUGAGUGCAGUAGAGGAGAGUGGAAUUCCAUGUGUAGCGGUGAAAUGCGUAGAUAUAUGGAGGAACACCGGAGGCGAAAGCGGCUCUCUGGACUGUAACUGACACUGAGGCUCGAAAGCGUGGGGAGCAAACAGGAUUAGAUACCCUGGUAGUCCACGCCGUAAACGAUGAGUGCUAGCUGUUUGGAGCUAUAAGUUCUAAGUAGCGCAGCUAACGCAUUAAGCACUCCGCCUGGGGAGUACGACCGCAAGGUUGAAACUCAAAGGAAUUGACGGAAUCGAAUU
rnacentral:rRNA from 1 species